GGGCCCGCACAAGCGGUGGAGCAUGUGGUUUAAUUCGAUGCAACGCGAAGAACCUUACCUACUCUUGACAUCCUGCGAAUUUGGUAGAGAUACCUUAGUGCCUUCGGGAACGCAGAGACAGGUGCUGCAUGGCUGUCGUCAGCUCGUGUUGUGAAAUGUUGGUUAAGUCCCGUAACGAGCGCAACCCCUUGUCCUUAUUUUGCCAGCGAGUAAUGUCGGGAACUCUAAGGAGACUGCCGUGACAAACCGGAGGAAGGUGGGGACGACGUCAAGUCAUCAUGGCCCUUACGGGUAGGGCUACACACGUGCUACAAUGGCCGGUACAAAGGGCUGCGAGCUCGCGAGGAGUCAGC
rnacentral:rRNA from 1 species